UUUAAGUGCAACUAUAAGUUUCUGCGCAAAACUUUGACCGUCCGUCUUAUUUAAAUUUUUUUUAUAAUUAGUAUUUUUAUUGUUAUGAGAUGAUAAAACAUGAAUAAUACUUUAUACGUGAUUUAUGUUUUUAAUUUUUUUCAACUUUUUUUAAAUAAGACGAACGAUCAAAGUUGGGUACGAAAAUUUAUGGUUGCGCUUAAA
rfam:Oryza meridionalis cultivar OR44 (W2112) chromosome 2, whole genome shotgun sequence.